AUUCGGUUUUUGAGGUCUAGGAUUUUGUGCUCUGUUGAUAAGUCUACAGAUGAGAGGAACUCUUCAGGGUCGAAAUCAUCGUCGGUUAUAUUCCGAUAAAACAAGCCAUCGGGAGGGACUCUGACGGUCGGAAGCCACCACUUAUCAUCUGUCCUCCGAGCAUUCCCCUUCUCGGACUCAUCAGCAUCUCUGGACACAUACCAGAACUCAUUUUGGUCUUUGAAGUUGUCUAGGUUCGCUUACGAUGAGCAUUGCAUCGAGCUUCCGCAAGGCAGGGAUAUUCAUGAGAAGGUCUUUGCGUUGCUGAGUUACCAUAAUCUGCUCACGACACAAAUAAGAACGUUGUAAUUUACAAUAAAACAGUACAACAACAACAACAACAAGAAAGAGAGGUGUUUUGAGUGACCUCCAUGCUGGUUCCAUCUUUGGAUAUCUGUUGGGAAGGAACAAACUGAACAAUAUGAUCCGUGACUGAUAAAAGCCAGUUUAUUUCUCUUCUCCAUCUCGCCUUCCUUUCUGCAGACAUGGGCUCCAGACGCCAUUGUUCUCCAAACACAGAAGCUGGUUCGGUCACAACAACAGACAGACGAGAGAUACUUUAGGAGAAAAACAUGGUGAUCAUUGCGCUGAUGCAGCAGGUAUGAUCUCUUAUAUUCCUAUUUGGUUAUGGAUGUGGACUAGCAGAAAGAAACCUGCAAGAUUGGUGAUGGCAUUGGAGAGAGCGAGGGCUGAGGAAACCCCUAUUCCUCCACCUGACAUGUCCUCCCCCAGAAGCAGCUUUGCAAACCUCUCCUUCAUCAACUCCAAAUCUGACAAAAGGCACCACAAAGAUUGUGAUCUUAUGAUAUCGAAAGUUGGUUCUUUUCAGGUUGCUCCUUGACACCUGCAUCCUUGCUGAACCGCGACUUGGGUGCUUGCUCCGGAGGUUGGCAGGGCGCGCUCGAUCCCUGGCUCCUAAAAAGCAUCUUGUCGUCGUCGAGUGACCCGCUCUCGAAGCCUCUUUUCAGAAACCGUACCAUCAAGGGCUCGUCCCCGAACACGGCUCAACGCAUGGAGAAGGCGACGAGGUCACCGAAAGCGACAUGGGCUCCUGCACCAGCGACGGCG